GCUCACUUCUGAAGAGCUUAUACUAAAAUCAGAAGGCUAUAGAGAUGAGCAUGACCUCUGAGCAGGAAUGACAUGCAAAUUUAUUAAGCAUUCCAUAUUAAA